AUGGCGCUGUGGACAGGGCUGGGUCAGGCGGCGACCGUGGCGCAGCUGGUCGGCGCGGACGUCGGGGGCCUCAUCUCCAUGAUCGUGCAGGCCGCGAUGACGGCCCGGCAGAACAGGUCCGAGUGCGAGCAGCUCGCGCGUCGGGCCCUCAUGAUCGCGCAGCUGCUGCCGCACGUGCAGGAGCCAGAGGCGGCGCAGCCGCUGGCCGGGCUGGGUGACACGCUCCGGGACGCCCACGAGCUCGUCGUGUCGUGCCAAGGGAGGAGCGCGGCGUAUCAGUUCAUCAUGGCUGGCAGGACAGCCGAAAAGUUCAGGGAGGUGCAGAGCAAGAUAGACUCCUACCUCAUCCUCUUCCCGGUGAUCAGCCACAUCGGCAUCACACGCCGCCUUGAGAGAAUCUACAAUGUCCUCGUCCCAGAUGACUCCACUAGAGAUGAACCGUCUUCAUUUCCACAGUCGUUGCAGCUGGAGGAGUCUACAGAGCUUGCUCAGGAGGUACUGCCGCACGGAACCCAGGAAUUCACGUUGGCGGAGAUCGUGGCUGCCACCAAUAACUUCGCCCCUAACACCGUGAUCGGUGAAGGCGGGUCCGGAAAGGUGUACAUGGGCAGGCUUUACGAUGGGCGAGCGGUGGCCAUCAAGAGCUUAAACAACUCGCAGUCGCAAUAUUUAGAGGAGUUUUGCACGGAGCUCGACAUCCUAUCACGGCUCCGGCACAAACACAUCAUCAGCCUCCUUGGAUCGUGUGUGACUGUGAGCAAGCCCAAGCGUCUGCUAGCCACCCCGCAAAAGAAAAAAAAGCGCCAGCUGACCUGGUGGAGAAAGGAGCCAGAAGAACCCGAAGAGUUGGAAGAGCUACAGAGGUUCAUUGUCUACGAGUACAUGGAGAACGGUACGCUCUUCGACCAGAUGCAUUCUGAUCAUGGCCCCUCCACGAUGUCGCCGGUGACGGGGUCCUGGAAGAUGCGCAUCGCUGUGCUCCUCGGCGUGUCACGCGCCAUCGAGCACUUACACUGUCAUGCCAACCCGCCAAUCAUCCACCGGGACAUCAAAUCGGCUAACAUCCUUUUUGACGCCAAUUGGGUGCCGCGUGUGUCAGACUUUGGCUUGUCGGUCGUCUGGGACAUUGCAAGUGAGGAGUCGGAAUUGAAAGUCGACCGGGUUGUAGGCACAUUUGGGUACUUCGCCCCUGAGUACGCCUUUUAUGGUCUUCUGAAGCCGGCAAGCGACGUGUACAGCCUGGGCGUGGUGAUGCUCGAGGUUCUGACAGGGAAAAGUGCAUAUUCUUUUUUUAUGAAUGAUGGGACAAAUGUACCUUUGACAGACUUCGCACUCCCCAUCAUUGAAGUCGGUAAUAUUGAGGAGUUGUUAGACAGGCGACCUGUACCGGAGCCAACGCCUUGGCAGCUGCAGGCGAUGAAACGUGUGGCGCAGAUUGCAUGCUGUUGCGGGAAGUUGGAUGCGAAGGACCGGCCGGCCAUAUCAGACAUCGUUGCCAACCUCGAGAUGGCGUACGAGUUGAUCUGCAGAGAUGAGCACGGUUCAGUUGACGAGCCAUGUUUGUGGCCCUUCGUCGAACAAGUUGACCUCCCAUCGGACUCACCACACUCCAGGAGCUCGUCAUGGGCAGGCUACCAUUCCGAGCUGGAAUCUGAGGUGCUGGAGGAGGGGCGUUGA
rnacentral:rRNA from 1 species